CGGGGUGUGGCGCAGUUGGCUAGCGCACCUGCUUUGGGAGCAGGGGGUCCCGCGUUCGAGUCGCGGUACCCCGA
rnacentral:tRNA from 1 species